rnacentral:misc_RNA from 1 species
GCUGUAUGUCUGCCAUUGAUCAAUGCUGCUAUCAGAGACAUUGAGAAGGGGAGUUUCCCAAAAAGGUGCUCUCUGCAUAUAGAAAUCCCCACACCUCCAUCUACAAAUAAGGGUUUCAAACUGACUAAACAAAGUAUGUGGAGAUCCUCGCCUAGCUGGCUAGCUGUUUCAGCCAACCGGCAUCCUUCUACUGGACAUUUUAUGUCUAACCAACAAAGUCUUGGCAUUCAGCUUGCACAACUUAGUCGAGACGCUUCUGCUGCUGGUGCAGCUCGCCGUUUGACCACACAAAGGAAGAAUGUGGAAAUCGUAUCAGUUGGGGUUGCAGGAAAAUCUGAUACUGGUCGGGUGAAAAAGUAUUUUCGUCUAGAGUUUCUGGACAAGGAGCAGGAAGAUUCUGAUGAGGAUCUGGAUUUCAGAGCACUUGAAAAUGGAUUUGUUGCCAUAAUUCCCCUAUCGCUUUCUCCAUGUAUUGAGCCAGACAUUCAUGUAACAACUUCAGAUUGGAUUUCUUCUGCAAUUCAUGAGGAUCAACAGAAGUCUACUUAGAGAGAUAACCAUCGAUUUUGUAUACAUUUCCAGUAAAUUUUUCCAAAUAUUUGGUGGAGUUGGGUGGUUUGCUUGUAGUAGUUGCCUUCCCUACGCAAAUGUAAUUACAAAUGGCCAGGUCCAAAUUGAGUGACCUUGCCUUUUCCCCUAAUUUUUUUUUCCAUCCCUUCCCUUGAGGAUUUGUAUUUUCUAUUUAUUUUUUAACACGUGUUUGAUGAUUACAUAUUGAUAGCGG